rnacentral:rRNA from 1 species
GACGAACGCUGGCGGCGUGCUUAACACAUGCAAGUCGAACGGAGUGGCGAACGGGUGAGUAACACGUGGGUGAUCUGCCUUGCACUUCGGGAUAAGCUUGGGAAACUGGGUCUAAUACCGGAUAGUGCAAGAUGAGCUCGCGGCCUAUCAGCGUGUUGGUGGGGUCAUGGCCUACCAAGGCGUCGACGGGUAGCCGGCCUUAGAGGGUGUACGGCAACAUUGGGACUGAGGUACGGCCCAGAAGCCGACGGGAGGCAGAAGUGGGGAAGAUUGAACAAUGGGCGGAAGACUGAUGCAGCGACGCCGCGGGGGGGAUGAAGGCCUUCGGGUUGUAAAAGCCUUUCGACAGGGACGCGGUACCUGUAUAAGAAGCACCGGCUAACUACGUGCCAGCAGCCGCGGUAAUUC